rnacentral:rRNA from 1 species
GCAAGAUACCACGGGCGCACGGCGGAUGCCUUGGCACAGGGAGCCGAUGAAGGACGCGGCAAGCUGCGAUAAUCCCCGGCGAGGAGCACACAUCCUUCGACCCGGGGGUCUCCGAAUGGGCGAACCCAUGCACAGCAGUGUGCAUAUCCCCGGCCUGAACACAUAGGGCCGGGGAGGACAACCCGGGGAACUGAAACAUCUAAGUACCCGGAGGAGAGGAAAUCAAUCUCGAGACUCCCCGAGUAGCGGCGAGCGAAAGGGGACCGAUGGCCAAACCGUCGAGCGGGCAUACCCGGCAGGGGUUCCGCCGACGGGGUUGCAGGGCCGCGCAUCCGGGGGCUGCCGCCCCCGGGCGCAGGUCCGGCUGGGGAGCGGAACGGCAUGGGAGGGCCGGCCGCAGCGGGUGACAGCCCCGUACGCGAACCCAGACCGGACGGCGCGACGCGGUCCCUGAGUAGGGCCGGGCACGUGAAACCCGGUCCGAACCUGGGUGGACCACCAUCCAAGCCUGAGUACUACCCUGUGACCGAUAGCGCACCAGUACCGUGAGGGAAAGGUGAAAAGCACCCCGGGAGGGGAGUGAAACAGUACCUGAAACCGUGCGCCCACAAACCGUCGGAGCCUCCUUGUGGGGUGACGGCGUGCCUAUCGAAAAAUGAGUCUGCGAGUCAGUGGCGGGUGGCGAGCAUAAGCCGUGUGGCGUAUGCGUAGCGAAAGCGAGUCUUAAAAGGCGUUUUUUAGUCGCUUGUCCUGGACCCGAAGCGGGAUGAUCUAGCCCUGGGCAGGUUGAAGCGCGGGUAAGACCGCGUGGAGGACCGAACCCACUUAGGUUGAAAACUGAGGGGAUGACCUGGGGCUAGGGGUGAAAGGCCAAUCAAAUUCCGUGAUAGCUGGUUCUCUCCGAAAUGCAUUUAGGUGCAGCGUCGGUCGAUUGCGUCGCGGGGGUAGAGCUACCGGAUGCUUGCGGGCCCUUGUUGGGUACCAACAGCAGCCGAACUCCGAAUACCGUUGACGUGUAUUCCGGCAGUGAGUCGGCGGGGGAUAAGCUCCGUCGUCGAGAGGGAGACAGCCCAGACCGUCGUCUAAGGUCCCGAAGCGUGUGCUAAGUGGGAAAGGAUGUGGAGUCGCAUAGACAGCCAGGAGGUUGGCUCAGAAGCAGCCAUCCUUGAAAGAGUGCGUAACAGCUCACUGGUCUAGUGGUUCCGCGCCGACAAUGUAGCGGGGCUCAAGCACACCACCGAAGACGCGGCAGCAAUCUUCAUGGUUGCUGGGUAGGAGAGCGUCCUGCGAGGGGCGAAGCGGCCGGGUGACCGUGCCGUGGACUUCGUGGGAGUGAGAAUGCAGACAUGAGUAGCGAGAGACGGGUGAGGAUCCCGUCCGCUGGAUGACCAAGGGUUCCGGGGCCACGUUCGUCGUCCCCGGGUGAGUCGGGUCCUAAGGCGAGGCCGACAGGCGUAGUCGAAUGGAUGAACGGGUGGAUAUUCCCGUACCGACCAUGGACCGGCAAAACCGAGACGGUGAGUACUAACCUCCGCCUCGUGGUGGUUCCUUCCUUCGGGUUGGUUCCGCCGCGUGGUGUUGGGAGCGUAGCCGUAGUAGGUCAGCGCAGGGGUGACACGGAAUGGGAGCCGGCCGCGGAGGUGGUUUUCCGUGGUCAAGCACGCAGCCAGUCAUGUAGGCAAAUCCGCAUGGCGCGCAUGGCGAGGUGUGAUGAUGGGAGCCGUUAUGGCUCGAUAUCCGGUUGUCCAGGCCGUCGAGAAAAGCCUCGGCGUGAGGGCCAUGGCCGCCCGUACCCCAAACCGACACUGGUGGUCAGGUAGAGAAUACCAAGGCGAUCGAGCGAAUCCUGGUCAAGGAACUCGGCAAAUUGCUCCCGUUCCUUCGGUUUAAGGGAGACCCCCUGCUGUGAACGGGCUUGCCCCGGGAGCGGCGGGGGGUGGCACAGGCCAGGGGGUAGCGACUGUUUACCAAAAACACAGGUGCAUGCGAAGGCGAAAGCCGCUGUAUAUGCACUGACGCCUGCCCGGUGCCGGAAGGUUAAGAGGAUCCGUCAGCCCUCGGGCGAAGCGGUGAAUUCAAGCCCCGGUAAACGGCGGUGGUAACUAUAACCAUCCUAAGGUAGCGAAAUUCCUUGUCGGGUAAGUUCCGACCUGCACGAAUGGCGUA